UCAAAAAUAUCCCAACUUUGCUCGUCUUUCACAACCACCAUAAUGAAUAAUUGAAUGCCAUCAUUUAAGCCUCUCCAACGGGGAGAAAGUAAAGGGACGCCCGCUUCACUUCAUCUUCCCCUAACCUCUCCAAUCCCAUACACACUACAUAGCCUCUCUGCUUUGCUCCCGGUGCGAACCAACGAGCCAUCACCGCCUGCCUCUGCCAGUAUUGUGGGUGCUCCGAUUGCAGAUUGUGUGGACACAUUCAGGCGCCAAACGUUAGAUAAACAAUAGGAAACAUGUGUGAAGAGAUGUGCAUAAAAGUUUUUGAAGCAUUGGAUGCGGGUCGGGAUGGGAUUUGCUGAACUGGACCAAUGUACCGCAACUCUAGACUAAUAAUAGAUCAUGGUCGAGACAUGUUUAAAAACGUAUGCAACUACUCGACGAUUAGAAGACAAGACAAUUUCAAUGCUAUUACCCCUAGGUGUGCUUCUGUUGCAAGUUAAGCUUCAAAAGAGAUUAGUGAUUAUAUUGACACGUAUGACAUCACUCACGACAUAUGUUUUUCUAAGGUUUUCUCGCAAUCACACGUUCGUAAUCGAAAUGUGAGUACAUAACGUUCUAAUCGUUGUUUAUGAAGGGGAACAACAUGGUUUUCGUAAGGCCGAAAACAUUAUAUUCACACUUGAACAACAAAUGGUGUUUUUCGCACGUUUAGUGGGGCACUUUAAGGUUGCAGACGAAAUCGUUCCCAUCAAGAUUGAUAAUUUCAACUAAGAAGUAUGUAUUUUUAUAUCUCUUCGCACUUCACUAGCUUAGAUGUAACAUUUUUGCCCUAUUUUCCUAAAGUGGUUCAUGUUAGGCUGCGGGAGUGGGGGCAUUGGCUGGGGCGGGGGAUGCCGUUCAACGCCAACUGCUCCACCCCAGGUUGGCUGUUAAGCCUGUAAGUAGGCUACACUCCAAAGAGAAGGAAGGGAGAGAACAGAGACAAUUUUGGAACGAUUUUCUGGAUUACUUUCAAAUGCAACUUACAAGAAUUAAAUAUGCAUGAGAUUACAUGUCCACCAUGCCCAUGAUAGCAUGUUCACCAUGUCACAUCGCUUAUUUCUAGCCAUGACUACCACUAACUCUUAAAUGCCAUGUGAUAAUAAAACUAAUUCAACAAUGCAUGCAAAAGAAAAAAUAAACGUGCAGUACUAGAAUAUGCAAUUUUUUUCUUUCUAGAAUUAGCCCAACAACCUGGCAGGCUUUUUGAUAACUCGUUUUGGGCCUGCUGCAUCUGGUCCCGUAACAUUGGCGUUGGCAUGGCGUUGCCCCUUUGGCGUAGGUAUUCAGCCUGGCAUGGGGCGGAAUAUGAAUGAAGUUCUUACACGACUUAAAUCUGGGCCUGAAGGAACCUGUCGUUAAUGUCUAGGCCCCGUCACAAAUUGAUUAGAGCUCUAUUGAGCUGAUAUUCGCAAUUCCCACAAAUUUAUAAACAUCAGUUUCAGUUGUAUAAAAUAGUCUACUUUAAUGUAUAAGAAUGCAUAUAAUCAUAUUAAUGCCAAACAUACAUUUUUUUUUAAUUAUGUCUGGUUUAUUUAUUUGUUGAGUGUCAAAAUUCAAACAUACACUUUCAUACAUAAUUUUAUUUUUAUUGUCUGCUUGAUUCCAAAUGUAUAGCUUUAGCUAUAUUGAACCAAUAUCUCGUGGUCUUAGAAAUAUGUUAUGAAAAUUUUGGAAAUAUUCCGCAACAAUUCAGGCAAAGGUUGAGCGAGGUCACUAGAUGCUUAUGAUAUUUUGAUCUUUCCUUUAAAAAUAGUGUCACCUGCGUCACUAUCAGGUGGCGGUACCUCGAUCGUAGCAACCUUUAUCAUUAUUUAUCAAUUUUGAAUGGUAAGAAGCUCCCCUUGGAAACCGAUCGCCAGGCUUUCCUUAUGGUUUUUUUCGUUUUAAGGUUUGAAUUAUAUUCUCGCCCCUUAUUAUCGACUCCACCGCAACGCGCUGGUUCCCCACUAUCAUUAACAAAAUAUAUAAUUAUACUCGAAUAAUAUUUAAAAAAAACUUUUUAUCAAAUUGAGACGACCUCAUAGAGCGACAUGUGUCCCUCAAAUGGUUUCUUUUAUUAUAUAGUAUAGAUUCUUUUUAAUUUUUAUGUACAUGCAUAUAAAUAUAGUUUCAAGAGAGAAGGUUGAUUUUUCAUAGUUUUGCAAAUUAUAAGGGUGUGUAUAUUCACACACCUUAAUCUCUAUUUCCACACCUUGUAAGACAUCUCGUAUAGGCCUAGACAGGAUGUCUAGGGUCUUUAAGAUGCCUCGUCUAGGCCUAGACGGGGAGUCUAGGGUUUUUGUCUCCGACCAGACACUAAACCUCAUACCAGGUCAAAUCAAUCACAUCAGACGGGACAUCUAGGUUUAGACGAGGGAGCAAUACGAUAGAGGUAGACGCCUCGUCUAGGCCUAGUCGGGGCGUCUUGAGACUGAUUUGACUAUCUCUCUGACAUGUGACUUAAAGUAAUAUGGGGCGUCUAGGGCUAUACGAGACAUACAUAUUGGAAAUAAAUAGUGACAUGUAGAGCAUUCUUCAACCAUCCAUCGUUCUGCUUCUUUGCGUUUGCUUCUUCUCAACUUCUUCUUUGCCUUCUAUUUGACAUCAUUCAAAGGUGCUGAAAUGUCAUCAUACUGGGACUGCAAUUAUUUUUUGGGUUGUAUUAUGGCGAGUCAUGGGUUCCCGAAACCGUUCUGGUAACAAUUAUUAGCUUAAAUUACUUGUUGUUUUAAUUAUUUACUAAUGAUGGUGCCGUUUUUUGGAGGAGACUGGCGUUCCCGAUUCUAACGAGCAAGAGGAGGUUGUGUCUAGUGUACAAGGAAAACAAGACAGACCGUUUCUAGAUUUGAACACGCAUCCCCCUGUUGAUGAAACAUCCCCUGUAGAUGACUCAUGUUAUCCGGCGCAACAAGGGUAUCCAGAUUAUGGAUAAGGGUGUGAAUAUUAUUACGUUCAACAACACUAUCCUGAUGGAUACGGAGGAGACGGUAGUCAUCAGCAAUUCAUUUCCUUGAGCAAUCCUUAUGAAAGUUACAAUGCAUCACAAUCUUUGUCGUUCAACAAAACUAUCCGGACGUUGGAGGAUAUGGUGGUGAGGCACCCCCUAUCCUGGGCAAUCCGUACUUCACAAAGUUUUCAACUCUCUAGAUGAACUAAAGAAAUGGGCACAAGAAAUGACAAACGCGGAUGGUUCCGUUAUUGUGACCCGUCGAUCAAAGAAAAUUGGGGGAAGGAACGGGAGGGUAUGGAUUGAAUGUGACCGUGGUGGUGAGCGCCAUACUACAACAACGGUUAGAAAAGCCGGAAACAAAAAAAAAAAACCGGUUGCCUGUUUUACCUGCUGGCGGUGCGAGACCAUCCGUAUGAAAUCUGGGAGAUAAGAGGGGGAACAUAACCAUGAACUUUGUGAGGACCUGUCGGCUCACGUGUUUGUGCGAAGGUUUACUCCAAAUGAAUACAGACUGAUCGAGCAGCUGACAGCUCAAAAGAUUGAGUCGCGCAAAAUUUUUCAAACGAUAAGGAAGCAGGACCCCGACAGGUUCCAUGUUCAGAAAGACGCACGAAACGCAGUACAUAAGAUUAUAGCUGAACAAAGAGACGGAUUGACUCCCAUGCAGUCACUAGAAAACAUCCUGAUUAAAAACGAAUGUAUUUACGAGACACCGGAGGAACCCAGAAUAGAGGUCGUAACAGAGAUCUCCUUUGUUCAUCCCUACUUGUGUGAUAGGUGGCGUGCAUUCCCGCACGUCUUGCUGAUCGAUUCGACGUAUAAGACAAACGUAUACAACAUGCCAUUUUUCCAGAUUGUUGGUAUGACGCCUUCCAACUAUUGGUUUUGUAUUGUGCAUGCCGUUAUCUGUAAAGAACAGAGUGAUAACUUUGUAUGGGUGCUUGGGAGGAUCAAGUCAAUGUUGGAUGAAUGUAUAGAGCCACGUGUGAUUAUAACGGAUAGAUACUUGGUCCUAAUAAGCGGGUGUGCUAAAGUAUUUCCAAACGCCUCUAUGUAUCUUUGCAUGUUUCACAUACAACAAAAUAUUUGUAAGCACUGCAAGAGCGCCUUCACAGAGGAAGAUUGGCAAAAUUUUCUGUCAUUCUAGGGGACAUCGUGUGAGUCUCCAUCAGUACCCAUAUACGAGUACCACUUGCGCAACCUGCAAAAGCAACUAGUGGAGUGCAAACGUUCAAGGGUGUUCAAGUAUGUGUAUGAUAAUUGGCUGAAAGAUUAUAAGGAAAUGUUCGUCUUUGUGUGGAUUGAUCAGAGUCGCAACUUUCAUCAGCGUACCAUAAACAGAGUUGAGAGCCAAAACGCCAAUUUAAAGAGAUACGUCCAAGAUAGGAGCUCGCUGGACCAUAUAGUUGGCUGUGUCCAGCAUAUAAUUGAAACAUAAUGCGGUGAAAUAAGGAGGAGUUUUCGAGAAAGCAUCGAACAAAGAAUGAAUCACCACAGAAACCCGCUGUUUAACCACCUACGUGGAUAAGUUUCCCAUACAACACUUGACUUGUUGAGUGGAGAGCUACUUAGGAAACUAGACAUCUUGCAACGCUUUCAUUCAUCAUGUGGUUGCCAGAUGUGGUACAGCUGUGGGUUGCCGUGUGCUUGUAGGCUGGAAAUGUAAGUACGUGCAGAGCGUCCGAUUCAACUCGAAGACAUAGACGUCUUCUAGCAGAAGCUUAACUUUCAACCAUGUAAAUUGCUAGAUGAUGACGUUGACGUGGUAGAAGAGCUCAAUAUUGUUAGACAACAAUUAGAGUCGCAUCCCCCUUCUCAGAAAUAAAAGCUUUUUGUCAAAGAUUAAAGCGGUGUUGACUCUAACAAAAUCUACAAAGAAACCACCAGUUAUCCAACAAAAUACUCGUGGACGACCAACAACAAAGCAAGUACAACAAAGGUUAGACGAGGCUGCUCGUAUAGACGAAGAAUUGAGGAGAAACUCCUUCGAUAAUGCAAACAUGUGCUUUGAAGGUUCCCAACAAAGUAAAUACGAUGCCCCCCGCCACAGCUCAUACGUUCCGUCACAGGGCUCUCAACAGUCGGUUAUAAGGUCUCAAAAAUUCAAUGCGGGCCGAAGCCAUUCAACGAGUUCUAAAAAUAAAGAGAUACGAGAUGAUAACGCUUUUCUGUUAAUAGUUGAGGACGAGAACGUGGCAAUCAUCAAACAGUUUAAAUCUGUCCUUUCGUCAGUGUUUCACCCGCAGAUCUCGUGCAUACAAGACAUGAGGUCAGACGGUCAUUGUGGGUUUCGGUAUGUGGCUGUGGGCUUAGGUUUGGGAGAACGUUUAUGGGGGCACAUUAAAAAAGACCUUGUACAAGAGAUGUGUUGGGAUUGAACCCUACAAAGGAACAGUUGAUUAAAGUCAAAACUGGAUCAGAUCAGUGGAUUCAGAAUAAGCAGUUGUUUGCAUCAGAUCCUCCCUCUUGAAAGUGGUCUAACAUCUGAUGACUUCUAAGUACUGCCCUUCACAAACAACUGCUGAUCACUAAAGAGUGUUGAAGACAAAACACUGAUGCUCAAUCUACUGUCAUGGUUCAAGUACUGCUGAAGACACAAGGCACUGCUAGGAGUAUAACAAUGGAAUGAGAAGCAGUAGUUUAGUUUACUUUGUAUUUUGUAUUUAACUUGUAAUCAGUAGUUAGAAAGCAGUGCUUGUAUAGAUCAGUGGUUAUAGGUUGUUAGGAGGUUAGAUAUCACUUUCAUGGUGAUGUUAGCAAAGAUGCUUCAGUG